rnacentral:tRNA from 1 species
GAGCAUAUACAUUUUGUGCUAGAUUUUGCAAAGAUUUAGUUUAGUAUUUGAGAUACUUAUGCUU